rnacentral:pre_miRNA from 1 species
GGAUCGUUCCAGUAGGACUGUGUAGAAUUUUAUCACAUUCUUCCUAGAAUGGUCCGU